rnacentral:rRNA from 1 species
GACGAACGCUGGCGGCGUGCUUAACACAUGCAAGUCGAACGCUGAAGCUCAGCUUUUGUUGGGUGGAUGAGUGGCGAACGGGUGAGUAACACGUGAGUAACCUGCCCCCUUCUUUGGGAUAACGCCCGGAAACGGGUGCUAAUACUGGAUAUUCACUGGUCUUCGCAUGGGGGUUGGUGGAAAGGGUUUUUCUGGUGGGGGAUGGGCUCGCGGCCUAUCAGCUUGUUGGUGGGGUGAUGGCCUACCAAGGCUUUGACGGGUAGCCGGCCUGAGAGGGUGACCGGGCACAUUGGGACUGAGAUACGGCCCAGACUCCUACGGGAGGCAGCAGUGGGGAAUAUUGCACAAUGGGCGGAAGCCUGAUGCAGCGACGCCGCGUGAGGGAUGGAGGCCUUCGGGUUGUGAACCUCUUUCGCUAAUGGUCAAGCCGCAACAAUGGUUGUGGUGAGGGUAGUGGGUAAAGAAGCGCCGGCUAACUACGUG